rfam:Arcobacter thereius strain 117434 AAX28_contig000001, whole genome shotgun sequence.
UUAUUUUCUCAGGGCAAGGUGAAAUUCCUUACUGGUGGUAACUAUUUUAUAGAAGUCCACGAGCGCCUUAUUUAUAAGGGUCAAGCAGAUUUGGUGUAAAUCCAAAACCAACAGUUAUAGUCUGGAUGAAAGAGAAGAUUA